GAUGAGGUGGCUCAGCGGUUAAGGUGAUGGACUGCUAAUCCAUUGUGUUCUGAAUGUGUGGGUUCGAAUCCCAUCUUUAUCA